rnacentral:sRNA from 1 species
UUGCUAUCUGCGAUAUGGAAGAUUCGAACCUGCCGCAGGUUCGGGUCGAACGCAGUGAGACAACGGAGCCGUUUACGGCGACGGCCCGAAGGGCGAGCGAAUCGAGUCAUCCUGCACGACCCACCA